AGGUGAGAUGAUGGAAAGCAUCCGUGUGUCUUGUUCAGCUGCUGAGGAUUAUCAAGAAUGGCUUUUUCUUCUACAGAAGCCUGAAGAAUCGUUCAGGACAAUUGCUACCCUCCCACCACCAGUAAUACCCAAAAAGAAAUCUAAAAUGGAUUACUAUACAUGACCUUUUAUGAAACAUCAUAAAUGAACAGCUCCAUUCAGUAAGAACUUUACAAAAAUAUGUUAUGUCCAUACUGAAAGCAGCCUCCAAGAUUGAAACAAGGACUUCUCAUGAAAAAUCAUACUGUUGAGCUGAACACCUUACAUUUUGAAAACAAACGAGUUGAAUACACAACUGAUGCGGAAUUUAUCGAAGAAUAAUGCUAUAGUUCUAUUACAGCAGUUCCAGAGAAGUGGACUUGAUACCAAUUUCUUAUUUCAUAGCUUUCUUAGAUAUUGCUGUAAGCCUUUUAUAUUGUGAGCUCUUGGGAAACUAAUCCCAUAACAGAAGUGUAAUUAUUAUGCAUUUCUAAAACUGGUGUAAAUAUUUGUAACUGCAUUAAGUAUCAUUAAAUGAAUUAAAAUUAUACCUUUACAGAUGAUGCCAUAAUGUCGAGUAGUAUCAAAAAUUUAAUUUUAAGAAUAUUGCAGAUAAUUGUUUGCUCAUGGUCUUGCAUCCAUCUUGUGAAUAAAAUAAUAUGCAUUUCUAGA